AUGGCGGAGAGGUUCUUCUCCGGCACGUCCACCGCCGCACCUCCGUUCGACGAUGCCGGCAUCCUCCUCCUCUCGGGCCCUCCGUGCUGCGGGAAGACCUCGCUCCUUUUCCAGUUCGCGAUAAACCGUGCGGCGGAGAGCGGCCGGCACGUGGUGUUCAUUUGCAGCAAGGGGAGGUUGGAGAACAGCACCCCCUUCUUGUCCCAGGGUGUUGAGCCAUCCCUGAGCGUGCUUCAGAGAAUACAAAUCAAAUACAUUGAAGACGAUGAGGGAAUCAGGAAGUACUUUGCUGCAUUUCACCUGCUUGACGACUUUCCUGCUGCAGUCAUUGUCGAUGAUUUUACCGGUUUCUUUUCGGAGAGCUGUAAUAGGAGCUGCCAGUUAAGAUAUGGAAAUACUAGGGCUCGUGAUCUAGCAUUGGUUCGCAUAUUAGCUUUGUGUCAAAAUGCUAUUUCGCAUGCAAAUGCAAAGCUUGGAACCAUUGGAUCUUGCAACCUCUUGCUCUCUGAUGUACAUCAAGGUGACAACCCAAGGUCCCUGUUCAUCUACAAGAGAUGGAUAGGUUCCAUAUAUACAAUCCAAGGUGACGGCUUAGGUUCAUAUCUACUCAAGAACAUUAGCACUCCACAAAGUGGAACCAAGGAAGCAAGAGCAGCUAAAUACUCAAUAGCUUUACAGUACCUUGUUCUUGAGGAAAUCAAAGAAUAA
rnacentral:rRNA from 1 species